UUCGCUUCUCGGCCUUUUGGCUUAGAUCAAGUGUAGUAUCUGUUCUUAUCAGAUUAUUAUUAUUAUUAUUAUUAUUAUUAUUAUUAUUAUUAGAGUUACUUGAGAAAGAACUCAGCUGGCAGCAACAACUUUCAGUUUUUGAAGUCUUUCAGGUUUUUC
ensembl:snRNA U2 U2 spliceosomal RNA